UACGUAGGGGGCAAGCGUUGUCCGGAUUUAUUGGGCGUAAAGAGCGUGUAGGCGGUUUGGUAGGUCCGCUGUGAAAACUCGAGGCUCAACCUCGAGACGCCGGUGGAAACCAUCAGGCUAGAGUCCGGAAGAGGAGAGUGGAAUUCCUGGUGUAGCGGUGAAAUGCGUAGAUAUCGGGAGGAACACCUGUGGCGAAAGCGGCUCACUGGACCACAACUGACGCUGAGGCGCGAAAGCUAGGGGAGCAAACAGG
rnacentral:rRNA from 1 species